UCAAGUAAAUUUCUGUGAUACACAAGGAUGGCAAAGUUCAGGCAUAUGCAUUAAAUGGAAGAGGAUUGGUUGGGGGAAGUUUCCAACUUGAUUACCCUAGCGUUAGGGCAACAGAAACCCUUCUGAUGGCUGCAUGUAUGGCUGAUGGAACAACUAUACUGUCCAGUGUUGCCAGAGAACCAGUGGUUGAUCUUGCUCGAUUUCUGACUAAAAGUGGGGCCUGUGUGGAAGGAGCAGGAAGCAACAAAGUUUGUCAUCAAGGGAAAAUCUUAUUUUCAUGGUUGUAAAUGUACUAUUGCACCUGAUCGUAUUGAAGCAGGCACGUUUUUGCUUGCUGCAGCUAUUGCUCGCUCAUUCAUUUCAAUUUCACCCGUCAUUCCUUCCCAAGUUUCCUGUCUGAUGCAAAAACUCUUGGCCGCUGGUUGCAAAAUAAGGCAAUGCUCUCAUGAUACCUUGGAAUAAACGAACUGCGGAAGCUUGGAGCAAAAAUUCAAGUCUGUGCAAGCUCUGCUCUGGUUUUCGGGAAAGAUAAUAGAAGUGGUUUGUCUGGUUCCUGCCUUGCUGCAACUGACCUCAGAGGUGGGAUAUCAUUGGUAUUAGCUGCAUUGGCUGCAUAAGGUACUACUGAGAUCAGCAGUGUUGCUCAUAUUGACCGUGGUUAUGAGAAUGUAGAUACACAACUUCAUAUGCUGGGAGCCGAUAUCAAAAGAUUAACGGCCCCUGCUUCUUCCUAGUGGAACAAGUACAUAAUUCUUCCCAUUAUAAUUUCUUAUCUUUCUGGACGAUUGGACCCAUUGUGACUGACGAGGAUUUUGACAAAACUACUCUUUCGCUUGCUAAAUAUCGUGUUUCAAAGCCAGGCUAAGAAUGGGUUGUGAGACAGGUGACAGGGCUAUACAUACACAUCAGAGUGAAGAAGAUUCUAAGAUGGUUAUAGUAGUGUCACAGGUUAAAGGUCCUUAGUUUCUUCAUAGCUGUACAGUGGAAACCCCCAAACCUACAUCAUUCAAGGCUUCAUCACCCUUCUCCAUAUAAGCCCAUUCAGAAAUUCGAUCUCAAGUUCAGCUAUUGACAAAGCUGUAUUUUUGGGAGAUAGAGGUGCCUGCACAUCCUUGAUCUAUUU